AGAGAUAGUGCAAUGGCCGAUGACUGACUCAGUUCUUGUGUCAAAAUCAUAUGAUGGAAUGAUUGCCAUUUCGUCAAGCAAAAGAACACAGUCUCUUUCUUGAUCUCCCAUGGAGGAAGCCUUUCAAUGCAAAUUAACCUUCAGUAUACAAUAUUUUGUAUGUUUACCUUCAAUUGCAAUGCUGCAAAAACCUCAUAUGUAAGACCCGAGGAAAAUUCAAUGUGCUCCAUUCGUUGAUUAAGUGUUCUUAUAGAAGUGUGGAAGUGCAAAAUUUCAUAAAUAUACUUCAUCAAUUUAAAAAUGGUAUUGCUUAACCUUUUCCAUAACCAGGCUUCUUGGAAAGCUCUUUCUUCAACAUUUCCGAUUCCUCCCGCAGCUUUGUGUGACUUUGACUAUUUGUGCUACUCUGAGGAUUGCUCAAGUCCAACUCAGUCACAGUCAUUGUAGAUUGUACAGAGUCAAGAUUUUUAUCAUCUUGGCUACUAGCAAUCUCAAUGGCAACAGGUUGUGGUGACACUACGUGAACAAGAAGUUGGACUCUUUCUUCGAAGCACAGGCUUUCGAUGUGUGAACAGAGUUGGUACUGCAUUUGGUCGGAGUUUGCCGCGGAUUUUAGGCUCGAAUUGAUUCGCUUCGAAGUGAACCUUAAGGAGCCGUACCACAAUAUCACAACACACAAUUGCAAAUUUGUAUUAAAUAUUUAUUAAAAAUUUUAAAAUUUACAUUGUCAUUGUCAUGUUAAUUAUCUAAAGAACAACAAGAGUAUAAUUGCCUCGCAAA